AAGCUGCAAAAUGUAUCCAAGUGUAGAGGGGUUAAACCAAAUGUAAAUAUUAAUAUCUUUUAUAAAUAAUGAUCUUAACAUCUGCGUUGCAAAGUUCUCAAUGGCUUCACCUCAAAACUUAAACUUUAAUAGUGUUAAAUAGUGUAAAAUGUCAAUGCUAAAAGUCGUGUAAACAGUUUUAUCAGAAGAAAUGUUGCAGUAUUUUUUCAUGCCCCCUAAACUUUCAACUCUUUGCAAUAUCUUUUCAGCCAUUUUAUUCCACUUCAUUAACAUGUUCGUGCAAUGAAAGUUCAAGUUUUUCGGGGCUGAUAUCAGACAAGCCAAAAUGCCAGCUACAUUUUGUGAGGGUUAUAAUAUAGAAAAAUAUAAAUUCUUUGCAUUUUAUAGCGUUGCAAGAAACACAUGCAUCAUUUUCCAUCGAAAUUGCUGGUAAAUGUUACUUUAAAUAUUUUUGGGCAAUUAAAAAUUACCGGAAUUUCCUUCUCUCAUAUUUUACAAAUAUUUUACCGUCUGCAUGCUAUUUUGGCGUAAACAUGCAAAUUAAAAAUGGGAAACAACACACAAAAAUGCAAAAUAAGCGAGGCAGGCCAUCGCCCGCUUUUUGCUAUUAGUUUUUUUUUCUCCAAAGGACAUUUAACCUUAAGCCAUGGAAAAAAGGGAUAUGGGGGUUAGUAAAAAUUCCAUUUCAGGGCUGCAAGCACGUCCUUUUCCCCACUUUCCCCUAAUUUCAUUUCCGCUGCCAUUUCAAGACUUUUCACUUGCCAGUUUUAUUUUUUUAAUACACACAGCACCUUGGGCAACUAAUUUCCUCGUGACCUGCGUAGUUUUCGUGCUAGCCAACUUCAUUUGGUGGCGACAAUGUUUUAGGCCCUCGAAAACACUUUGUUGGGCGUGUGUAUGUGUUUAUAUAACAAUUUGUACGGCUUUUGGCUCAGUUCGGCACGCACUCAGUGCUAAUUAAAAGUCAGCACCGGCAACGCCCCAAAAAAAUAACAUAAAAUAGCAAGAAAAAAAACUAUAAGGCACAUAGGAACCAACCAUGCCAGCUGGCAGGUAUAUAGCGAAUAUAUCGCGAAUAUAUUUACAGUGUAGUUGAAAGUUGGCCCAAAUGUGCUGACGCUGACGUGUUGCUUGGCUCUGCAUUUUAUUUUAUUUUUGGCACAAACAAAAUGGCAAGCAACGAGAUACAGCGAUUUGAAACAAAUAGGACACCAGAUAGCAAACCAGUUUGUUUAAAAGCGUAAUUUUUCCACUACCUUUUAAAACACGUCUGUUUAAAUUUAACUUUAGUAGUAUAUUAUUCCAUUUAGUGCUCUCAAACACAUUUAUAAUCGCCGCGGAAUAAUAAAUUAGAUACGUAUAAAAAUGUCCGUGUGCACUUCGUAAAAUCUAAAAGGUCAAAUUGGAGGCUUUUAUUACAAAAAAAAAAAAUAGAAUUGCUUUUAGUAGUGCAAAGAGCUUUCCAACCUGCAGAACCCAAAGCCAAUUACACAUUUUUUCUUGGCUAAUUAACAAAAUAUACCCUGCCAGCAUUUUAAUUGCCAACCUAUUUACAUAUUGACCAUUUGUAACCAAAAAGGUCAACACACGCCUAUUGUAUAUAUGUACGUUGGUUGAUUCAGCAAACUGGGCCAGGAAAUAUGAAUUUAGAUGACACCAAUUAACGCUGCAGUAUGAAUGGCACUGUGAAAAUCGAUAGCAAUGCAAAAUUAUAACAAUCCCAUGUCGUGGGCGUUGUAUCAGGAGAUCAAGACCAAAAAAACUGCUAAAUUAUGCAAGUUGUUUAAUUACAGUCUAAUGGCAUUCAACCGUUUGCCCAUUUUGCCUAUAAUACCGAAAUUGUUUUGCGGCCACAAAAUCGCAUAUAGAGCAGGAAAAACGCCCACUGGAUGACUCAACAUGUGCUCGGUUACGCAAAUAGAGGGAGCCGACUGGUGCCCCACAGGAGACAUUGCAUCAAAGGGCUGCCGUUCAGUGUCAGACAACGCGGCGUAUACGUCAUAUCGCAAGGUGGUGGCCCAGCAGCCAAAAGGUAGAAGGCAGAAAUGAACCGGAGCGAAGCACUGCGCUUUAUUUAUUCAUCCUGCAUGCAUAUGUAAAGAGCCGCUCAGAAAUCCCACAGCCGCCACUUUUACAGCCAACAAUAUGACGAAUAUCAUAUACCCUUUUCUUUGUAUUAAAAAUAAUACAAAAUACAGCGAUUUCUUAUUUAUAACUUACGAACGGUGAGUUAUAUGAUAUUAAGCGAAUACAUUUAUAAUUUUUACAAUACGAAAAAAUGAUGAUAGCUUACAUAGUGAUUUGAGUAAGUUCCACAGAUUCACCUAACGCACACAGGACUCCAGGAAGCAAAGGGACCUGCCAAAGGAUUCCAUCAGACCACACUCACUUGCACAGGGACACACAGAGAUGGCAGCUGGGCCACUGGAAGUUGUCUACGCAGCAGUGGCACGGAUUCCCUGGUUAAGGGAUGAUGGGAUGGAAACAGGGGGCGAGGUGGCCAAAAAAAAGGAAAGGGUGUGGGCAACAGACUUUCACCACCGCCAAAAAAGUUGGCUUUUGUGUGUGUCGCUGCCGAGCGAGCGGAACCGAGAUUAAAAUUAAAAUUUAAAUUUAUUUUAAGCUGACUUCUGUGGCAUGGCCAAUGGGUUUGGAUUGUUUCGCGUUUUAUGGCUGCUUUGCCACGCCCAUUUCGCGUUUAUUUUUGGUCAGUGCCAACGUGUUUGCGCAGGAUAAUUACUGAUUUUAUUGCUAAUUAAACUAACUCGAAGUGAAUAAGUUGGUGUUUAUUCAGCCGGCUCUAGGAAAACAUGGAAAACAUUUUGAGCAGUUGGCUUAAACCAUAUUUAUCAGCGAUAUGUAUCUAAAACUACAGUAUCUGCGCGAACAAAUUAAUAUGAGUGGAAAAUCAAAACAGUUUUUAAAUGCAAAUCUAAUCACAUACCAAAGAUUAUGCCAAUUAAAUUCGCGAUCAAUGCUAGGCAAUACAGCGAUAUGCGAACGCUCAUUAAUAAUGCCAUUUAUUCUAGAAUUUAUUUACUAUACUUUAUUUGAGUAUUGACAUCUAGUGUCGCUUAUGGGUUAUUGCAUCGUUUUAAUAACACACUUAGCAUUAUCCACGAAUAUGAAUAUGAAACAUGUUCGCUGUUUGAGUGGCUCAAUAAGGCAAAAGUUCGUACUACUUCGACGCCAUUGCCAGUCAAAUUUGUCAAUAAAAUAAUUUUGCACAAAUGUGGACGAUUUGCAUAGGCACGAACACAUUGAAACGGAUACGGAUACGUUGGAUACCAGUAGAAACCGGAAAUAUUAUUGAUUAUCGCUGGAGCAAAUGUCAAUAAGCGUUUAUUUUCGUUCGGAAUUUUUUCUAUUUUCUCGAUUUCAAUUUCAAUAUUAUGCACAGGGUUUCACCACGUUGGCUGUGCGAGAAUAACAUUUUUAUUUUAUAGCCCCUCCUAUCACUUCACCUAUUUUUCUGGCAGAAAGCCUUCACUUGCCUCUAUAUAUAAGUGCGACAAAUAUUUUCUUACUAUCCAUUCGAUUUUGAUUUAGUUUUUUUCUAAGGAGAAGUCAGCUACCCAUUCACAUUUUCACUCCUUCCUACGUUUAGCUGGCUGUCUAGUUUCUGCUUCCUUGACACUUUUAGUUGAACAUUCAUAACUUUCGAUUUUGCUCCUUUUGCUGAGAUUUUUAAUUAAAGUGUUAGGCGAACUAACUGACACCAGGCUCGUGUGCUUGACUCCCUGACUGAGUGACGUGCAGGGGUCGCCGCCUUGGCAUCAGACACUUGCCCAAAAUGCCUGAAAACCCAUUGGAGAGCUGCAUGUCAGACUAAGUUCAGGGAGUUCUCUGACACUCGCAAUGGGUCUCUUGUCAGUUUAUAACGAUGGCUGAACUUGAACUGCUCAAUGGUUGAAGGAGAGAUAAGGACCCAUAAUGGAUAUAUUCAAGCAUUAAAGGCUGUGGAACUUUUUAAACUACAAAUAUCCACUUCAGCAUAAAAUGCCUAGUCGACUAAAUAAUGGUAGUGCUGCAACUAACCUGGCGUAUACGUAAUAUGACCAUACGGCAUAAUUUCCGCUUAAUUGAACCCAUAAAAGCCGGACAAAGGGCAAUGUUGCGUAGAAUGAGCCCCAGAUUAAGACAAAGUACGCCAGUACUCCACCGAUGCACCACAGGCAACAGGACUGGCCAUUUCCACCUCUCUGGCCCAUAAAUUACAAGGGGGUAGUGCGCAAAAAAAAAAAACGGGAAGGCGAAAUGCAAUGGCUAGGAAAAACUUCAAUAAAGUGGCCGAGUGGUUUUGAGCCGGAGUUGUUGGCCGCCGGUAGCCGUUGGUCAUUACUGGCUGGCCCCAGGAAAUGGCUAGAACUCGAAAAAAAAAUGAAUAGAACCCCAGGCCAUUUGGUCCGCUUAAAGGGCACAUGCAGCCCGCUGCAAAUGACAUAAACUGCAUGUGAAGCCCGUCGUGUUUAUUGCUUUUUAUGGUGCCGCUUAAUGACUGCAUUCGCAUAUAGCCGGGAUUUCAGUGGCGGAUGAGAGGUUUCCCCUUUGACCCCUCCAUGCAACCGAGUGAGUACCUAAAAGCCUGCGUAAGACCUCUAAGCUUUAAAGAUAUAUGUUUAGUUUUUCCCAUGAGGAAUUUGGUUAGGAAAAACCAUGAGCUAAAUGAAAAAUUUGACAUGCACAUUUUUCUGGGACAAUAUUUUCAAAAUUAAAUGCUUAAAACUAAAUACUUGAAGUCUUAUUAAAGAGUAGAGAAUAUCUCCUGUUCCUUAACUGUUUUAAUUUAUAAUAAAAUAUUUUUUCCAGGACUAGUCCUUCAUUUAUCAUUGCCGUAAGCUUGAAGUUGCAGUCUCUACCAUAUUAAAAUAGCAGUUGACUUCUGACUAAGCAAAAGCAACUUUCUAUCUUUUUUCCCUCGCGUGGAUUAUUUAUCUUUCCGUAUUCCGCUUUCAGCCGUCCCCCUGGUGGUUCAAAAUUAUAAUGGCAACUUUUUAUUUACUAGCUGUGCCCGUCCACGGAGCCCAUAAAAUAUCACGGCCGGACUGUUCAGUUCAGUUUAGUUGAGUUGAGCUCGGUUCAGGUUCUAGCCGAGGAAGUUUGCCACCAAGUGGAAGGACCAUCCCACUUGAAAGUUGCACUGGCAUUUUGUUAUUUUGCCAUCCACCAGGCACUAGCCGCAUUACUCAGCUGACCUCUUUGUGUGUGGGUGUCGAAGUCUCUGAAUUUAUUUUUGCAUCUUUGCAUUCUCAACCAUUUCGCAAUUUAUUGUUUUCCCUCUAUUGGGGUCAGUUUGUUUGGAGGAGGCUUUGCUUGUCCAUGGCAAAAGGGCAAAUACAGCAAACAAAAAGGGUGGCAACAAAAUGAGGUUAGCUUUGUUUAGACAACCUGACCUCAGGGCCAAAUCAGAGUAUAAUAUAUAUAUAUAAAAUCGUAUAUUAAAAUAACGAAAAGACAAUGGCUGGGUCAGCAGAAAGCAGAAAGUGGCUGACAUAUUGACACACUUGGCGUAUGAUUGAUUUUCGUUGCUUCUCUUCGUUCCUCGCUGAGUUAAAUAAUAAGUUAGGAACUUGUUGAUUCAACGCACCACAUGGGGCGGUCACCAGUGACUUGUGCCCUAUUCACACAAUCGAAUCACAAAACAAUGGAUCCGCCCCCUCAAUGAUAACAGCCCAUUAUAGCCGUUGUUUAUUGAGGUGUUUGUUUGUGGUGUGUGUGUGCAGCAUGGAGUCUCCUCCGUGAUAUAUACAAAUAGGGCUGUGUAAAUACAUCGAAUGGCAACAAACAACAACCAGAGCCCGUCAUUGUCAUUGUUAUCUACUCAACUUGUCGCCCGUUACAACCCCUUUAACCAUACCCUACCCAUUCCAAUUCCCCUACCAUUCCCAUUCCCAUUCCAUGACAAUGACAGGUGGCUCUGCCUCUGGCAGGACAGCCAGUCAACCAGUCACCCAGUCGCUGAAUCAGCCAUCCGGCCAGGUGGAAAUCGAAAGAGCAACGCCUUAUGCAAAUGCAAGCUGGAAAUGGGAAAUGGAAAAUGUAACAUGCACAAAACACAUUGUUGACAUCGCGCCAUUCGCGGAAAAUCGGUCUGAUCAAACCCACGGUUAACCACUGGAUGGGAAUGCGAAAACCGCACAAAUAUAACUCUUGCGAAAUUUGUUAUUGAUUGAUUUAGCGGAAGUGAAAAGUAUUUUGAAGGCACACGAUUCAAUUGAAUUAUUUUGAUCGAAAUGUGAAAAAUUUCAUGCGUUUCAGCAGGCUCUCAAAACAUAACAAACCAAUUUUUCCAUCACUAUUUAAAUUUUGCCGCUUUUUAAUUUCUCAAUAUGAUUUAGAUGUUUGUUUCAGAAAAUAAACCAAUAAUUCCUUCUAUUCCAGAUGGAAAUUUCGGUCGACUUAUUCACGGCUCGCAUGGAAAUCCACAAAUAAUGGCAAUUGCAUUCCGCUGCCAAGUUGUCUGAGUCUGCUUUCCGGUUCAUGAUUCCCCUUUAAGCCAUCCAUUUCAUCGCCAAAUUGGUAACAGCACUCCACUGACCCUCCAAGUUGGCUAAAAGUUUUAAGUGGCGCACAUUGCCUGAUUGGCUGCUGCUCUGGCUAAUUGAAAUCUUGGAAACGGGCGCCAAGGAUAACUCAAACCUGGUCUACAGAUAUUGCAUUUGUUGCAAUGCAAAUGCAGUGAGGCUUUUAAGACCGAACUAUAAA
rnacentral:sRNA from 1 species